GUUUCAUUUGAUCCGAUAUAAAUGCUUCAUUGUCAGGUUGAGAGACAGGACAGGAAUGGCAAGAAAGGCAGGAAUGAGGGAUCAUGGAUAGAAAAGGCUCUGAAGUUGGGAAAAUUGAGUCUGGGUCGUUUCAUCAUCAGAUAGUUCUGUCAAGAAGGAACAAGAAGAAGGAAAGAAAUGGUAUUAUUUUCUCACUUAAUGCCCAUUCAUGUCAGGCCACGUACCAGGUACUUUCAUUACAUGCCAACCAUGUGACUUGGGACAAGUUAAUUCCCAAGUCACAGUUUCCUUGGAGAUGAUACUAGUAGAAUUGUGUGAGAAUUAAGUUACUCAAUACAUGUAAAACACAAACAUGGUAGCACAUGUUAUUGAAUACAUGUAAAACAUAAACAUAGUAGCACAAAGAAAGUAUACUGUAACUAUGAUAACGAUUAUGUCUGAUUUUGUCACACUAUGCUGGUGCCUCACUUUAUCUUUGGGGUCUGUUUAUUCAUCAGUAAAACUCAGGGAGAGGGGGGUUAGGUGAGUUGAUCUCUAAGAUUAUUCAUAAAAUGUUCUGGUUCUUUUGUUUUAGAGAGCGGAGAAGGCAAAGAGGAACAGACUGGGAAAGAGACUGGAUAGAUUCUAAUAUGGCUACAUCCUGGUGGGAGGCAGGACACUGAAGUACUUAGAACCCCUCAGAAUGGCCAGAUCCUGCUCAUGCUUGGGCUAGAAGAAUGGAACCUUUGUAAUUCUGGACUUGUAAAUGGAAACACAUCACUUACUGUGAACCACAUCCCAGACAGACAUGGGCAGGUGAAAACAAAUUCUUCCAGGUAACUCAUUUUUUUAAAAUCAGAGGAAAUUGGUGGACAUUGAGUCCAGCCCCAAAUAUUAAACAAGCUUCUGAGUUUGAUAUUUUCGUAGCAACAGCAGUUAAAUAGGAACAUGACCCAAGUUAUGCUCUCAAUUUUCACUAAAUGAAUAAAUGAACUAAUUAGUAUUUGUGUCCAAGGGCAAUUGGUUGGCAGUUCUGAGUCAGAAAUAAACAGAAGGACAGGGUCGUCUGAGUGGUCCACCUGCAGACCUAAAGAGCUCAUGGGUCCCACCUUGUCAUGAGGCAGCCAUGUCUUUGUGCUUGGGGAAACAAGAAGGAGGACAUAAGUCCUGAUCAGAAGCCACGUCAAGGCUGCUCUGCUGUGUUGAAGGGAGGGGAGGUAGGGUUACUUCUGACAACACCAAGGUUUUAUUUGUUCAGGAAAAGACCAGAAACAACAGAAGAGUGAUGUCAGGUGAGUAAGCCAAACUUGGCCAGGUGUGUCAUUCACAUAACAUGCAUAUUACACACUUUUGCUUCUGGAGGGAAAAUCCAUUAAUAAAUGCUAAACAAUAGGAUGCUAUCCAGUGUAUUCUGCAUGUUUACACACCAUUGACAUCAUCCAAUUCUCUGAACAAGACCAUCCGUAUUAUGUAUGUAUUAUUCAUGUGGUUAAUAAGCAUGGACAGAGGGCACAUUGUUUACUAGGUUAAGCUCAGGCUACACAAGAAACAUAAAAGGUAGUCCUUAACUUUAAAGCAUUUACAAUUAUAGUCCAGGGUGUGUUUAUAUCUGGCCAUAGGAAGUCUUUAAGGAUGAUGCAAAUUUGUUCAAAGGGAACUCUUCAGAUUAUGGUUAAUGCAGUGGGAGUUCAGACAAGGAUAAAACUGUUAUGAAAUGGAGGAUCUAGAAACAAUGUAGUGUAGAGGGCAAAAUAUAAGCUUUAGUUCUGGACAUGCCUGUGAUCAUAUUCUUACUCACCUAUUAUAAGUUACAUGACACAGUACAUUUCUAGACCUCUGGAGUUCCCAGGUUUAGUAUCUACCAAGUAGAAUUCACAAUAUCUAUUCUGCAGAACUGUCAACGUGAAUAAAAAGAGAAGAUGUAUCUCCACGGCCUGUCACCCACUAGUUUGAGUUCUAGUAUCUUCCCUCCCUUACCCCACUGGCUUUUUCUGAUUUGUAAGUGCGUUAGAUUUCUUCUGUGUUUCAGUGGGUCUGCUCAUCCAGAUGUCCCCAUUAUAGGUUGGGUUCUCCAGGAGGAAGACAGGGAUGGAGCUAGAAGCACAAGAAAUUUUGGAGGAGUAAUACCUGUGGAAGGAAAAGUAAGGAAGAAGCAGAAUUGGGCAGAGGGAGCCAUCAGAAUGUGACACAGAUCUGUCAAAAGGUUCUCCCAGGCCAGUGUGGAACUUUAUGCAAGGUGUUUCUGCUGGAAGAGUUGAACAAAAUAUGGCUGGGAGCUAAACCAACUAUUUUUCCCAGCUACUGGCUGUGGGCAUCUAUAAGAAGCACAUUCCCUGGCAACUAUCACCACCUCAGGCUGAGGGCCACCCCCAAGAAUAUAUGACCCAGUUAGGAGGCUGAAGGAGUUAACAGCUGGAGGCUGUCAGCUAACCAGAGGCCCUGUAGCUGGC
rnacentral:lncRNA from 1 species